UAUGAAUAGGCAAACGUAGGUUUCGUUUUUAUUUGCCUUGCACGCAGAGGGUCAACGGUUCGAAUCCGUUAUUCUCCAC
rnacentral:tRNA from 1 species